rnacentral:lncRNA from 1 species
AGCGGCGCGGCGGCGCGAGGAAAGGGCGUAGCUCCGUAGUUAGCGCCCUACCAUUGAGACCAGAUAGUAGCACCCUGAGUCGGUUUCUUAGGGGUAUAAAAUGCAAAGAACCAAGAGUGUGAUAAUUGUAAGAACAAUGUUGUAAUAAGUGUGCUAAGAACUUGAUUGUAUAUUAGGAAGUUGUGGAUCAAUGUAAAAGAAUAUAAUGUGGAAUGUAAAAUUGUAAUAUGUGUGAUGAAUGCUUGUAAUAGCAAGUAGAUUUAUAUUUUUGAUA